UACGUAGGGUGCGAGCGUUGUCCGGAAUUAUUGGGCGUAAAGGGCUCGUAGGCGGUUUGUCGCGUCGGCCGUGAAAACCUGCAGCUUAACUGUGGGCUUGCGGUCGAUACGGGCAUCACUGGAGUUCGGCAGGGGAGACUGGAAUUCCUGGUGUAGCGGUGAAAUGCGCAGAUAUCAGGAGGAACACCGGUGGCGAAGGCGGGUCUCUGGGCCGAUACUGACGCUGAGGAGCGAAAGCGUGGGGAGCGAACAGG
rnacentral:rRNA from 1 species